GUGUGUCUGUGUGUGUAUGUGUGUGUGCAUGUGAGACAGAGAGAGGGUGUGUGUGUGCAUGUGAGAGAGAGAGACAGAGGGUGUGUGUGCAUGUGAGACAGAGAGGGUGUGUGUGCAUGUGAGACAGGGUGUGUGUGUGCAUGUGAGACAGAGGGUAUGUGUGUGCAUGUGAGACAGAGGGUGUGUGUGUGCAUGUGAGACAGAGAGGGUGUGUGUGUACAUGUGAGACGGUGUGUGUGUGCAUGUGAGACAGAGAAGGGUGUGUGUGUGCAUGUGAGACAGAGAGAGAGGGUGUGUGUGUGCAUAUGAGACAGAGAAGGUGUGUGUGUGCAUGUGAGACAGAGUGUGUGUGCAUGUGAGACAGACGAGGGUGUGUGUGUGCAUGUGAGACAGAGAGGGUGUGUGUGUGCAUGUGAGACCGACAGAGGGUGUGUGUGUGCAUGUGAGACAGAGGGUGUGUGUGUGCAUGUGAGACAGAGUGUGUGUGCAUGUGAGACAGAGACAGAGAGGGUGUGUGUGUGCAUGUGAGACAGAGGGUGUGUGUGUGCAUGUGAGACAGAGAGGGUGUGUGUGUGCAUGUGAGAGAGGGUGUGUGUGUGUGCAUGUGAGAGAGGGUGUGUGUGUGCAUGUGAGACAGAGGGUGUGUGUGUGCAUGUGAGACGGUGUGUGUGUGCAUGUGAGACGGGUGUGUGUGUGCAUCUGAGACAGAGGUGUGUGUGCAUGUGAGACAGAGAGGGUGUGUGUGUGCAUGUGAGAGAGGGUGUGUGUGUGCAUGUGAGACAGAGGGUGUGUGUGUGCAUGUGAGACAGGGUGUGUGUGUGCAUGUGAGACAGGGUGUGUGUGUGCAUCUGAGACAGAGGUGUGUGUGCAUGUGAGAGAGAGAGGGUGUGUGUGUGCAUGUGAGAGGGUGUGUAUGUGCAUGUGAGACGGUGUGUGUGUGCGCACGUGAGACAGGGUUUGUGUGUGCAUGUGAGAGAGAGGGUGUGUGUGUGCAUGUGAGACAGAGGGUGUGUGUGUGCAUGUGAGACCGACAGAGGGUGUGUGUGUGCAUGUGAGACAGAGAGAGGGUGUGUGUGUGCAUGUGAGACAGAGAAAAAGAGGGUGUGUGUGUGCAUGUGAGAGAGGGUGUGUGUGUGCAUGUGAGAGAGGGUGUGUGUGUGCAUGUGAGACAGAGGGGGUGUGUGUGUGUGCAUGUGAGACAAAGGGUGUGUGUGUGCAUGUGAGACAGGGGUGUGUGUGCAUGUGAGAGAGAGGGUGUGUGUGUGCAUGUGAGACAGGUGUGUGUGCAUGUGAGAGAGGGUGUGUGUGUGCAUGUGAGAGAGAGGGUGUGUGUGUGCAUGUGAGACAGGGUGUGUGUGUGCAUGUGAGACAAAGGGUGUGUGUGCAUGUGAGACGGUGUGUGUGCAUGUGAGACGGUGUGUGUGUGCAUUUGAGACAGAGUUUGUGUGUGCAUGUGAGACAGAGGGUGUGUGUGUGCAUGUGAGACAGGGUGUGUGUGUGCAUGUGAGACAGGGUGUGUGUGUGCAUGUGAGGGUGUGUGUGUGCAUGUGAGACAGAGGGUGUGUGUGUGCAUGUGAGACAGGGUGUGUGUGUGCAUGUGAGACAGAGAGGGUGUCUGUGUGCAUGUGAGAGAGAGAGGGUGUGUGUGUGCAUGUGAGAGAGAGAGGGUGUGUGUGUGUGCAUGUGAGAGAGAGAGGGUGUGUGUGUGUGCAUGUGAGAGAGAGAGAGAGAGAGAGGGUGUGUGUGUGCAUGCAUG
rnacentral:lncRNA from 13 species